UACAGAGGGCGCGAGCGUUAAUCGGAAUUACUGGGCGUAAAGCGUGCGUAGACGGUAGCGUAAGUCAGAUGUGAAAGCCCCGGGCUCAACCUGGGAAUUGCAUUUGAGACUGCUCUGCUCGGGUGCGGAAGAGGGAAGCGGAAUUUCCGGUGUAGCGGUGAAAUUCGUAGAUAUUCGGAAGAACACCAGUGGCGAAGGCGACUUACUGGACACAUAUUGACGCUGAGGUGCGAAAGCGUGGGGAGCAAACAGG
rnacentral:rRNA from 1 species